rnacentral:lncRNA from 1 species
CGGCGGGGGCACGGCGGGUGCCAGCGCCCGGCCCCACCUUCCCCCCCCUCGUAGGGGCAGCCUCUAAUCCCUCUAAUCACUGGCGUUACAAUUAAAAAAAAAAAAAAAAGCCAUCCCCUGUUACUUAGCUAUGAAGCCGAUUCUUUUUCUUUCCGUGCGAUUUCAUCUGGGGUUCCUCGGACGUUGUUGCCCUCCCCUUCUGUGUGCUGCCCGCCUUGCUCUGGUUUCUGGGGUAUUGUGCCCUGCCUGGAAUGCUCGUCCGCUCCGGGGGGAAGAAAAUCAUUUUUCUUAUGCUGACAAUGGCUGUAAUCACAUUACAGGUAAAGGGUUCAAAGGUUAUUUUUCCAAACAAAGAAUAGAAGAAAAAACUGCACAGCAGUCCCUUUCCACUGUAGAAGAUAGUGACAUAUUAUUCCUUUCAAUUCCAGGUUGUGCUUCAUUGCUUUCGAAAUAGAUAUACUUGGGACAUAUGCCCAAACCCAAGAUGUGGUCAAUGUGCUCCUAGGAUUAUUUUGUUGCUAAAGAGCUUUUUUUGCCAGAGAAAGAAUUAUCCAAGACAGAUGCUACUGUGAUAAACAGCUUGAUACUUGCUACCCUAGAUGCUGAAAAGUUUAAUAUGGUAAGAAUGUAACAGUGUCAGGAUCAUAAAUGCAUAACUUGUUCACCUUAGAAAUAUAUGGGAGGUAAUACUUGAUAAAAGAUACCUCCACAAGUUUCUUGGGUGAAUGGCAAAACUGAAUAGCUAAAUUAUUAUCACUGUUUAUGCAGGUCUGGAUUUGUAAAUGACCGGUUAUAUCAGCAAUGCCCAGCUUGAAGCACAUUGAGAAGUGCCUUGUUUUCCACAUGUGCUGGGCAUUCAUCCUGCUAAAACCAGGCUGUAUGCACACUUGACCCAAAGCCAAGUUUUAUUUAUAUGUUAGAGAAACUGUAAGGUGAACUUUGGGUACGUUCUUGUGAUUAGAGGAAAGCCUGGAUGGAAAGCCUGAUCUUGUGUUACAGGCCUGUCUUCCCAGCCAGGGACCUUCAGGGUGUGAUCCAUCCCAUGUAAGGUCUUUGAAAUAAGCAUAGUUGUACUGUGUAAUGUGUGGUCAAUAGGACAAACAUAGACUGCUGAACCAGUGUAGUGGCUUCUAGGAGGCUCUUUCAGGCUGUUACCACGCCCAUCAUCUUAGCAAUAUCCACUGAGUAGAUGUAUAUGAAACAAUUAAUAAAAAUUUUAGUACACCCUCA